UAAGCCACACGGAAAGAAUCUGUCAUCAUGACUUAUAAACCGGUAGUGAUAAGUGUCAUCACUGUUGGCCCAGCUCUCUCAUCACUACCGGCUGAAGCUACCGACCGACAAUGAUAUUAGGGGUCAUCACUACCGGCCGAUAGCUUGGGCUGUUAAUGAUUCUCAGUUCCCUCAUCAUUGUUGGUUGAAGCCACUGACUGGCAGUGAUAUCAAGGCAUCACUGCCGGCUGGUUAUAUGAGCCGACAGUUAUGCCUCAGCUAUAUAAAAGUGGCCCUCUCCUUCCUCAAGCUCGAGCACAACAGAGGAGCUCUGUUCUUACUCAGUGGUGGCCAUUUUUGGUCACCAAGUUCUUGGGGGCUUCAAAUUUUUUAGGAAUCCUCAUGUUGUAGGUGUUCCAAGGAUGACACCAAUAAACACUCAUCAGAAGCGGACGUGAAAGCAUACAAAAGGCGGCUCCUCCAACCUAGGUCAAUUGCCGUUAGAAGAUGGCGAGAAGAGAUAUGUACGAUGCGAAUCGUUUGAGUGCAGAGUAUAAGAACGGUAUGGAGUAUUUCCUGGUAGCAACCGCAGUGCACAAGUCAAAUACAAAGUCUCAAUACAUGUGAUGUCUAUGCGUCGAUUGUGAGAACAAGAAGAAGUUUUCCACCACCCAUCAGAUACAUUCCCACUUGAUGCUAUGGGGCUUUAUGUCUGGCUAUACCCGUUGGACCGAGUAGAGUGAAGCUGAGAUUGUACAGGAAGAGCAAUACAUUGGCAGAGAAGACGAAGACUUGUGCAUUGAUAUGCUGGCUGACGAAUGAACCGAUAUGCCGCCUAUCGGAGAUAUGUUAGUCGAUGAUGAUCUAGAGCCGAUGUUGGUUGAUGACGAUGACGAUGAUCUACAGUAGAUGUUGCGUUAUGGGGAGGGAAACUUCACCAAUGAAAGAAAGUUUCAAAAGUUCCAGUGUAUGGUAGAGGACUCUAAAACACCAUUGUUCUCAGGAUGCGAAAAUGAGCACACAAAGUUACAUAUCGUGCUUUCACUGCUACAAUUGAAGACAAGCAAUGGGUGAUUUGAUACAAGCUUCACAGAGUUGUUACUGUUCUUGAAAAAAUUACUUCCAAUGAGAAAUGUGCUGCCAGAAAACACGUACCAAGCUAAGCUUUUUUGUGUGCCCAUUAGGGUUAGAAGUACAGAAAAUACAUACAUACCCAAACGAUUGCAUGUUGUAUCGCGAAGAGCAUGCAGAAUUGGAAGCAUGUUUGGUAUAUGGUGCAGCACGGUACAAGUGUGACAAUGAUGAUAUCGAUGGUGAAGGAAAGAAGAAAAGGCCUCCUAUCAAGGUGAUGUGGUAUUUUCCUGUAGUCCCCCAUUUGAAGCAUUUAUUCGCGAACAAAAAGCAUGUCACCUUGAUGCGAUGGCACGCCGAGGAGCGCAAGGAUGAUGGAAUGUUGAGACACCCUGCUGAUUCUACAUAGUGGAGAAAUAUCGAUAGAAAAUACAAGAAGCUCUUUAUAGAAGAUGUGAGGAAUAUAAGAUUUGGGUUGAGUACAAAUUAUUUGAUUCUUCUCUAGUAUAGCCAUUAUUGAUCGUAGCCGCAAUUGCAGUGCAACCAGAGUUCUGCAAGUGUUAUGCGGGAAGUAUCAGGAGCGCGGAGGAUCCUGACUACAACCAAGAACUCAAAGAGAACUUUGAAGAAGACAAGUCCUAUCUCCUUGAUCAUAUUGAAUCUAUGUUUUCAAAUAAUCUACAUGAUCAACUUAAAAUUGGUUUUAUUAUCGCAUGUGCUAUGUAUUGUGCUAUUUUUAAACUACUUGCAAUAGUUAAAUCCUAUCAAACACUUGCCAUGCCUUAAAUGUCAUCAUCCAACACACAUAUCAUCCUAGGAUUACCUGUUAUUAUCUAUAUUAAUGACAAGUGGCGUCUUGAUAACUAGCAUGCUUAGGAUUGAAUACGUCUCCUCGGAGACGUCAAGUUUAAAACAAUUCUCCUUAGAGAUAAGACUUACUGCUAUCAAUGAUAACUCAUAUACCAUGAAUCCUUGAUGGUUGUAAAUUCCAUGAUGUUUGUGAAAUCCUUGAUGUCGUGUGGGAUAUGGUGGGAGCUAUGUAAAAAUGGGUGAAAACUGCUUAGGCAGGGGCAGAUAGAGUAGUACUCUGGACGAGGAUGCUCUUGGGGGCUUGAGUUACCUUUGUGGUAUUCAUUGCUGGAAGAUACCUGCCCUAGCCGUUUAAGGACCGAGUCAUUUCGCAGCCAUGUCUUAGCAACCCCAUACAACCAUACGUCCUGCAUGGGUAUGACUUGACUUCUCCUUCAUCGAACUGAGUUGGGCAUCAUACUAGAAGGCUGGGAGCAGCGAGCAGUCAAGUGGCCAUCUGUCCCUCUGUUUGGAGGUUGCUAGUAUCGGCCUAGGCUUAAAAAGGGGACUGGCCUUCAGUACAUGGACUAUGACGCUUGUGGGUAAAUCUCGUAGAAAAGCCCGGCAGAAAAGGUGAUUGGAGUGUGUCGGUAUGAUUUGCUCCUCUGCUUGCAACAGUUGGAGGCUAAGCAUAUUGUGUGGGUAAAGAUGUACAACCUCUAUAGAGUGUAAAUCUAUUCGAAUAGUCAUGUCCACGAUCAUGGACAUUCGAAGGUAGAACAUUUUUUACUAGACUCUAGUGCGUGUAUCUUGAUGAGUGAGUGUGUGGACUAGAUGUCCGUGUGACGAGGUUGCUGGUUGAAUCCGCCAAGAUCUGUGUGGUACUAGAGGUACACCAGAUGUGAUGAAAGGUACUGCAGAGUGUGGCGUAGACCCUCCCAGGACCGAGAAAACCCCAGAUAUAGCUUGUUACUUGGUUUUGAACUAUUUAAACUAUUUUAAAGUCAAUCAUAGAUGAUACAAUUGGAUAUAUGCAUAAACUUCUUUACGCCUAUAACUAAACCGUAAAGCCUUAUCCUUGAAGCACCCCUUUAUGCAUCUAUCAAACACCUUGAAGUACUAUAGGGCUUGCUGAGUACCCUCCGUACUCAUUCUUGCUGUUAUUCAGAUGAGGAAGCCGAUGCUGAUUUCGCCGGAGGUGAAGGCAAGGAUGAAGAAUAGUCUUAGAAGUCACGUCCGCACCCUAAGCUGCUUGUGGCUUGGGCUUUUGUUUUCCGCUAUGUUUUGUUAGCCUCUCGGCCAGGUUUGUAAUAUUCGGUAUAGUUUGUAAACCUUUAUACUCUGUAACCUUAAUAAUUAUAUUUGAAG